UCCCUCGUAGCUCAGUCGGUAAAGAAUCUGCCUGAAAUGCAGGAGACCCAGGUUCAAUUCUUGGGUUGGGAA
rnacentral:tRNA from 1 species